GGCCCGGGAGUAAAACGCGUUGUGCGCGCCGCUUGACCGCUUUCAACAAAGGAAAACCCAGCAAGGGGAGAGGAGAGCGCCGGCAGCGGCUCUGCGGGCUCAGGGCUGAGGAUCCGGUAAUGAAGUCUUUCUGGAAGCAGCAAGCCCUACCCUGGAGCCAGCCCGAGACCCACGGCUGCAUCGCUGUCUUGGCAGGCAGUGAGCAGAGGGGGCGGCAGCUCGGUCUCAGCUUGCAAACGGAGCCAGGCUCUUGGCUGUGCCAGCUCUGGAGGCCCCUUGGAGAUGCCAGUGUGCCUGAGUGAGGCAGUUGCAACUUCCCCUCGGCUGCAAGCCUCUGGAGCCGGCAAGGCUUCUGGAAGCUGCAAUCAAUCUUAGGCAAGGGUGUGGCCGGAGGGCUGCUGAUGGGCGGGAGGUCUCUCCCUGGGCAGGCUGCCCUCCUCACCUUGCCUUGCCUGGGCCUGCUGGCCAGGUUCACGGGCAGGAGCAGCACCAGAGAUCCGCACCUUCUCGGGCACAGGACCAGAGGAUACUGUGGGAGGCUGGGGUUUUAUUAUAAAUGUUCUCCGUUUCUGGCUUGUUCAAAAGCACAAAACAUAAAGAGAGCCAGCUAGACGGAGGGAAGCCAGCUCCUUGCAGACUCAGCGUUUGAAUAGCAAGGAGCUGCAGGCCCUCCUUGGACCAGCGUGGGUCUGCGGUGGGCUUGAACAGAGCCGCAGGCUUUUUUGAGCCCCGGGUCUCUCCGCACCGCGGUGGUGUUUCCUGGCCAGGGCAGCAGAGGGCGCUGGCUCUCCCAACAGCCUCCUGUCCCGGGCAGCUCUCCCACACAUCUGGAAAUGGGCUCUACCACUCUCUUAUGAAAUGUUGGAUGAAGAUCUGUCCGUGUGAGACGUGCUGGCACCGAGUGAGCGAGAAUACACAUCAAGAAUUCCACUUUCUCAUUAGUUCAGUUUCCCCCUCAAGAGCACUGGUGGAAUGUGGGGAAUUUGCCUUGCCAAGGCAGCCAGCACACUGGAGUCUUGGGCUUGGUUCAGCCCGGGUGGAAUGCUUGGAGGGACCACCUCUGGUCUGAAGCCUUUGCCCUUCCCUCCCACGUGGAGGGGGGAUAAGAAAACAGAAGAGCAGGACCUCCCAGAUCUUUCCCCCAGGGGAAGAAAGCUAAAGAUGUUUGGCCUUGCCCCUGUGGGCUUCCUGAAGAGAGCAACUGCCCACGUUUUCAGGUCUUCCAGGUCGUUGGGAAAGAAGAUCUAAUUCUAAGAAAGCGUCUUCCCAUACGGCAAGCGAUUAGAAAUGCUGGUGACAUUUGCAAACGAUGGAGCAGGGAGAGGAGAGACUGGCUGGAGGAGGGCAGAGCCGAAGCCUGGGAAGGGACCUGGUUGCUAUUCCCAGAAUGUUCCCUAGACGUCCGCAAGCUGCAUGCAUUUAAAUGUCCACAUUUUCCCGCAGAAGCCAGCAAUCUGUACUUCUCUUGGCCAAACAACACAUCAGUCUAAUAUGGUGUGGGAGAAAUGUGUUACAUUCUUUUAUGAACAGAAUGUUAACACCUCCUAGAAUCAAUAUUUAUAUCCAAGAACACAAUGAACUGGCUUGUUUUGUGCUGCUGCAGGUAUAAGAAAGGGACAUUUGGGGGAAGCUGGAGAUUGCCCUUGCUUCUACCCAGAAAGGCAGGCCCAGGGCAAACCAGCUGGGGCUCAGGCAUCCAGAGGGUUUCCGCCCCUGAGACCCUGCUAGCUCCCUUCCUGCCCCUGCUGCUUUCUGUCUCCUGGGAUUGCGAGAGGAAGCCAGAGGCAGCAAGUGGGGCAGGACGUGGCAGCGGAGGCCAGGACGUGAGGCAGUAUCCUGUCCACAUGACAGUUUGGGGGAAGGAGGGUCAGGCUUGCAUCCUGGAACUUUCUAGUGGAUAGCAAAGUGAGAGCUGACACAACAUAAAUGCUUAGACAAGAGACUUGUGGGGGCUGGAGAAAAGGGAACAGGGUGAGAUGGCUCUUUUUCUGGGGUCACCCUGGUGAUAUUUUUCUGGCCAGGCAGUUUCCCUCAUUGAAGACAGCAGCUGUGACAGAGAUGGAAGCCAAGUCUCCUCUCUCCAGAAUGCUGUCUAUUCCUCGGAGGUUUUGGGGAAACUCCAUCAAGCUCCUUAGGCUGUUUCGUUCCUGAAUGCUGUUUUUAUUUGACUGCCUUUAGAAGCCUCUGGGUCUGCAGCCUGGAGUCAGGGCCUUGCUCCUAACAGGUGAAAGCCUGAUGCAUCCCAGGAGUGCUCACUAAGUACUGUUCGAGGACAGGAAAACAUGAAUGGAUGGAUGACAAGGAUGGUCCCUGCGGGCUGGGAGAAACGGUGCAUGAAGGCUUAGAGGUGCUGAAGAAUGGCAGGUAUGGAGUUCAGUAGACAGACGUGUUUAAAGGCAGAGAAACGCCUAAACCGGGAAUUAGAAAAAAUGCACAGGCAGCCAAAAAGGGUCGUGGAACACCAGUCAAUUGUUUGAUACUGGCUAUGGAAAUCCAACUGAAAUUUUUAAAUGAGAACAAUGUGAUUUUAAUAAAAUUCCAAGGUGCUGUUUGUAAGUGAAUGUAGA